rnacentral:lncRNA from 1 species
UCAACAUCUCUAACAAUCCCAAGUGGUGUGAUGGUGUCUCUAUUAGCAAGUUUAAUAGUAACAUUUAUGUCUUCCAUUUCAUCGGGUGCUAUAUCAUGAAUAAUUUCUUGAUAUAAGGUAAAAGGAAUACCACUAGCACAAGCACCUAUAUCACAUAAACCAUGAUAACAAUGAUCUCCUAUUUUGACUGAGACGACAUGCAUGCCAACAACGGGUUUAUUUUUAUAUUUAGUAUCAGGUUUGGCAAUUCUAGCAGGUUCAUCAUAGAAAUAAAUAGCAUGCCCAUCAAUAUUAUCGACCAAGAGAUCUUUAACCAUAGCAAUACUAGGUUCUACGUUGAUUUGUUCAAAGGGUUUGGUUGUUCUAACAUAACUUUUGUCAACCACGGUUGAAGUUUUAGCAUGUUCCUUUAUCCUAACACGGAAAGGUGGUUUCUCAAUAUAUGCAGUAGGCACAACUGGGUCAACAUUGUAAAUGAUGUUGGAAUUAUGCCCUAGAGGCAAUAAUAAAUAUAGUUAUUAUUAUAAUUCCUGUAUCAAGAUAAUAGUUUAUUAUCCAUGCUAUAAUUGUAUUGAAUGAAGACUCAUUUACAUGUGUGGAUACAUAGACAAAACACUAUCCCUAGCAUGCCUCUAGUUGGCUAGCCAGUUGAUCAAAGAUAGUCAGUGUCUUCUUAUUAUGAACAAGGUGUUGUUGCUUGAUAACUGGAUCACGUCAUUAGGAGAAUCACGUGAUGGACUAGACCCAAACUAAUAGACGUAGCAUGUUGAUCGUGUCAUUUUGUUGCUACUGUUUUCUGCGUGUCAAGUAUUUAUUCCUAUGACCAUGAGAUCAUAUAACUCACUGACACCGGAGGAAUGCUUUGUGUGUAUCAAACGUCGCAACGUAACUGGGUGACUNNNNNNNNNNNNNNNNNNNNNNNNNNNNNNNNNNNNNNNNNNNNNNNNNNNNNNNNNNNNNNNNNNNNNNNNNNNNNNNNNNNNNNNNNNNNNNNNNNNNNNNNNNNNNNNNNNNNNNNNNNNNNNNNNNNNNNNNNNNNNNNNNNNNNNNNNNNNNNNNNNNNNNNNNNNNNNNNNNNNNNNNNNNNNNNNNNNNNNNNNNNNNNNNNNNNNNNNNNNNNNNNNNNNNNNNNNNNNNNNNNNNNNNNNNNNNNNNNNNNNNNNNNNNNNNNNNNNNNNNNNNNNNNNNNNNNNNNNNNNNNNNNNNNNNNNNNNNNNNNNNNNNNNNNNNNNNNNNNNNNNNNNNNNNNNNNNNNNNNNNNNNNNNNNNNNNNNNNNNNNNNNNNNNNNNNNNNNNNNNNNNNNNNNNNNNNNNNNNNNNNNNNNNNNNNNNNNNNNNNNNNNNNNNNNNNNNNNNNNNNNNNNNNNNNNNNNNNNNNNNNNNNNNNNNNNNNNNNNNNNNNNNNNNNNNNNNNNNNNNNNNNNNNNNNNNNNNNNNNNNNNNNNNNNNNNNNNNNNNNNNNNNNNNNNNNNNNNNNNNNNNNNNNNNNNNNNNNNNNNNNNNNNNNNNNNNNNNNNNNNNNNNNNNNNNNNNNNNNNNNNNNNNNNNNNNAGGAUCAUGUUGUAAUAGAUAAUAUCGACUUGCACGUCGAUGGUACGGCAACCGGCAGGAGCCAUAGGGUUGUCUUUAUACUAAUGUUUGUGCUUGCAGAUGCGUUUACUAUUUUGCUAGGAUGUAGCUUUAGUAGUAAUAGCAUGAGUAGCACGACAACCUCGAUGGCAACACGUUGAUGGAGAUCAUGGCAUGGCGCCGGUGACAAGAAGAUCGUGCCGGUGCUUUGGUGAUGGAGAUCAAGAAGCACGUGAUGAUGGCCAUAUCAUGUCACUUAUGAAUUGCAUGUGAUGUUAAUCCUUUUAUGCACCUUAUUUUGCUUAGAACGACGGUAGCAUUAUGAGGUGAUCUCUCACUAAAAUUUCAAGACGAAAUUGUGUUCUCCCCGACAGUGCACCGUUGCUACAGUUCGUCGUUUCGAGACACCACGUGAUGAUCGGGUGUGAUAGACUCAACGUUCACAUACAACGGGUGCAAAACAGUUGCGCACGCGAAACACUCGGGUUAAGCUUGACGAGCCUAGCAUGUGCAGACAUGGCCUCGGAACACAUGAGACCGAAAGAUCGAUCAUGAAUCAUAUAGAUGAUAUGAUUAGCAUAGGGAUGCUUACCACUGAAACUAUACUCAACUCACGUGAUGAUCGGACUUGAGCUAGUGUAAGUGGAUCAUGAACCACUCAAAUGACUAAGAGAGAUGUACUUUUUGAGUGGGAGUUUAGUGUAUAAUUUUGAUUAAAGUUAAACUCUAAUUAUCUUGAACAUAGUCUAAGUCCACUUUGAAUAUAUUUGUGUUGUAGAUCAUGGCUCACGCGACAGUCACCCUGAAUUUUAAUACGUUCCUAGAGAAAGCUAAGUUGAAAGAUGAUGGAUGCAACUUUGUAGACUGGGCUCGUAAUCUUAAGCUAAUCUUACAAGCUGGGAAGAAGGAUUAUGUCCUUAAUUCUGCGCUAGGAGAUGAACCACCCGCUACGGCUGAUCAGGAUGUUAAGAACGCUUGGUUAGCACGUAAGGAGGACUAGUUAGUAGUUCAAUGUGCAGUCUUGUAUGGCUUAGAACCGGGACUUCAACGUCGCUUCGAGCGUCAUGGAGCAUUUGAGAUGUUCCAGGAGUUGAAGUUUAUCUUUCAGAAGGACGCCCGGAUCGAGAGGUAUGAGAGCUCCGAUAAAUUCUAUGCUUGCAAGAUGGAGGAAAACUCGUGUGUGAGUGAACAUGUGCUCAAAAUGUCUGGGUACUCAAACCGUCUAGCUGAGCUGGGGAUUGAACUCCCGCAAGAGGCUAUCACUGACAGAAUCCUUCAAUCACUGCCGCCAAGCUAUAAAGGCUUUGUGUUGAACUACAACAUGCAAGGGAUGAACAAGUCUCCCGGCGAGUUGUUUGCGAUGCUGAAAGUCGCAGAGUCUGAACUCCGUAAAGAGCAUCAGGUGUUGAUGGUGAAUAAGACCACUAGUUUCAAGAUAAACGGCAAAGGCAAGAAGGGUAAUUCAAAGAAGAGCGGCAAGCCUGUUGCCAAUCCGACGAACAAACCCAAAGCUGGACCUAAGCCUGAAACGGAGUGUUACUAUUGCAAGGGUAUGGGUCACUGGAAGCGCAAUUGCCGCAAGUAUCUGGCAGAUAAGAAGGCGUCCAAAGAAAAAUCAGGUAUAUUUGAUAUACAAGUUAUUGAUGUGUACUUAACCGGCUCUCGUAGUAGUGCCUGGGUAUUCGAUACCGGUUUUGUUGCUCAUAUUUGCAACUCGAAACAGGAACUGCGGAAUAGACGAAGGCUGGCGAAAGAUGAAGUGACGAUGCGCGUAGGAAAUGGUUCCAAGGUUGAUGCAAUCGCCGUCGGCACAGUUUCACUUCAGUUACCAUCAGGAUUAGUGAUGAACUUAAAACAUUGUUAUUUAGUGCCUGCAUUGAGCAUGAACAUUAUAUCUGGAUCUUGUUUAUUACGAGACGGUUACUCUUUUAAGUCAGAGAAUAAUGGUUGUUCUAUUUCUAUGAGUAACAUCUUUUAUGGUCAUGCACCCAAUGUGAGAGGAUUGUUCAUAUUGAAUCUUGAUAGCAAUACACACAUACAUAAAACUGAGACCAAAAGAGUUAGAGUUAACAAUGAUAGCGCCAUAUUUUUGUGGCACUGCCGCUUAGGUCAUAUUGGUGUAAAGCGCAUGAAGAAACUCCAUGCUGAUGGACUUUUGGAGUCACUUGACUUUGAUUCACUUGACACGUGCGAACCAUGUCUCAUGGGCAAGAUGACUAAGACUCCGUUCUCCGGAACAAUGGAGCAUGCAAGUGACUUGUUGGAAAUCAUACAUACCGAUGUGUGUGGUCCGAUGAGCGUGGAGGCACGGCGGAUAUCGUUAUUUUCUCACCUUCACUGACGAUUUGAGUAGAUAUGGUUAUGUCUACUUGAUGAAGCACAAGUUUGAAACAUUUGAAAAGUUCAAGCAAUUUCAGUGUGAAGUUGAAAAUCAUCGUAACAAGAAGAUCAAAUUCCUACGGUCUGAUCGUGGGGGUGAAUAUCUGAGUUUCGAGUUUGGUACUCACUUAAGACAAUGUAGAAUUGUUUCACGGUUAACACCGCCUGGAACACCACAGCGUAAUGGUGUGUCCGAACGUCGUAAUCGUACUUUAUUAGAGAUGGUGCGAUCUAUGAUGUCUCUUACCGAUUUGCCGUUAUCGUUUUGGGGUUAUGCAUUAGAAACAGUUGCAUUCACUUUAAAUAGGGCACCAUCAAAAUCCGUUGAGACGACACCAUACGAACUGUGGUAUGGCAAAAGGCCAAAGUUGUCGUUUCUUAAAGUUUGGGGAUGUGAUGCUUAUGUCAAAAAGCUUCAGCCUGAAAAGCUGGAACCCAAAGCGGAAAAGUGCGUCUUCAUAGGUUACCCAAAAGAGACAGUUGGGUACACCUUCUAUCUCAAAUCCGAGGGCAAAGUCUUUGUUGCUAAAAAUGGAGCUUUUCUCGAGAAGGAGUUUCCCUCGAGAGAAUUGAGUGGGAGGAAGAUAGAACUUGACGAGGUUGUCAAACCUCUCAUCCCUCUGGAUGGUGGCGUAGGACAAGGGGAAACCUCUGUCGUUGCGACGCCGGUUGAGGAGGAAGUUAAUGAUGAUGAUCAUGAAACUCUGGUUCAAGUUUCUGUCGAACCACGCAGGUCGACGAGGCCACGUGCUGCUCCAGAGUGGUACGGUAAUCCCGUCUUGUCAAUCAUGUUGUUGGACAACAAUGAACCUGCAAAUUAUGAAGAAGCAAUGGUGGGCCUGGAUUCCAACAAAUGGCUAGAAGCCAUGAAGUCCGAGAUAGGAUCCAUGUAUGAGAACAAAGUGUGGACUUUGGAGGUACUGCCUGAGGGCCGCAAGGCUAUUCAGAACAAAUGGAUCUUUAAGAGGAAGACGGACGCUGGAGGCAAUGUGACCGUUUAUAAAGCUCGACUUGUGGCAAAGGGUUUUUCGCAAGUUCAAGGAGUUGACUACGAUGAGACAUUCUCACCCGUAGCGAUGCUUAAGUCUGUCAGAAUCAUGUUAGCAAUAGCUGCAUUUUUCGAUUAUGAAAUCUGGCAGAUGGAUGUCAAAACGGCGUUCCUUAACGGUUUCCUUAAGGAAGAAUUGUAUAUGAUGCAACCCGAAGGUUUUGUCGAUCCUAAGAAUGCUAACAAGGUGUGCAAGCUCCAGCGAUCCAUUUAUGGACUGGUGCAAGCAUCUCGGAGUUGGAACAAGCGCUUUGAUGAGGUGAUCAAAGCAUUUGGGUUUAUACAAGUGGUUGGAGAAUCUUGUAUUUACAAGAAAGUGAGUGGGAGCUCUGUGGCGUUUCUAAUAUUAUAUGUGGAUGACAUAUUGCUGAUUGGAAACAACGUAGAGUUUUUAGAGAGCAUACGCGCUCCGUCCCCUAUGCUUCAGCCAUAGGUUCUAUCAUGUAUGCAAUGUUGUGCACUAGACCGGAUGUUAGCCUGGCCAUAAGUAUGGCAGGUAGAUUCCAGAGUAAUCCAGGAGUGGAUCACUGGACAGCGGUCAAGAAUAUCCUGAAGUACCUGAAAAGGACUAAGGAGAUGUUUCUCGUGUAUGGAGGUGACGAAGAGCUCGCCGUAAAAGGUUACGUCGAUGCAAGCUUUGACACAGAUCCGGACGACUCUAAGUCGCAAACCGGAUACGUAUUUAUUCUUAAUGGGGGUGCGGUAAGCUGGUGCAGUUCCAAGCAAAGCGUCGUAGCAGAUUCUACAUGUGAAGCGGAGUACAUGGCUGCCUCGGAGGCGGCUAAGGAGGGUGUCUGGAUGAAGCAGUUCAUGACGGAUCUUGGAGUGGUGCCAAGCGCACUGAAUCCAAUAACCUUGUUCUGUGACAACACGGGUGCCAUUGCCUUAGCAAAGGAACCGUCACGGUUUGACAAGAAGACCAGACACAUCAAACGACGCUUCAACCUCAUCCGCGACUACGUCGAGGGAGAGGACGUAAAUAUAUGCAAAGUGCACACGGAUCUGAAUGUAGCAGACCCGCUGACUAAACCUCUUCCACGGCCAAAGCAUGAUCAACACCAGAACUGUAUGGGUGUUAGAUUUAUUACAAUUUAAUUCGCAUGAUGAUGUGAGGGCUAGAUUAUUGACUCUAGUGCAAGUGGGAGACUGUUGGAAUUUUGCCCUAGAGGCAAUAAUAAAUAUAGUUAUUAUUAUAAUUCCUGUAUCAAGAUAAUCGUUUAUUAUCCAUGCUAUAAUUGUAUUGAAUGAAGACUCAUUUACAUGUGUGGAUACAUAGACAAAACACCGUCCCUAGCAAGCCUCUAGUUGGCUAGCCAGUUGAUCAAAGAUAGUCAGUGUCUUCUGAUUAUGAACAAGGUGUUGUUGCUUGAUAACUGGAUCACGUCAUUAGGAGAAUCACGUGAUGAACUAGACCCAAACUAAUAGACGUAGCAUGUUGAUCGUGUCAUUUUGUUGCUACUGUUUUCUGCGUGUCAAGUAUUUAUUCCUAUGACCAUGAGAUCAUAUAACUCACUGACACCGGAGGAAUGCUUUAUGUGUAUCAAACGUCGCAACGUAACUGGGUGACUAUAAAGAUGCUCUAUAGGUAUCUCCGAAGGUGUUAGUUGAGUUAGUAUGGAUCAAGACUGGGAUUUGUCACUCCGUGUGACGGAGAGGUAUCUCGGGGCCCACUCGGUAAUACAACAUCACACACAAGCCUUGCAAGCAAGGUAGCUUAGUGUAAGUUACAGGAUCUUGUAUUACGGAACGAGUAAAGAGACUUGCCGGUAAACGAGAUUGAAAUAGGUAUGCGGAUACUAACGAUCGAAUCUCGGGCAAGUAACAUACCGAAGGACAAAGGGAAUGACAUACGGGAUUAUAUGAAUCCUUGGCACUGAGAUUCAAACGAUAAGAUCUUCGUAGAAUAUGUAGGAUCCAAUAUGGGCAUCCAGGUCCCUCUAUUGGAUAUUGACCGAGGAGUCUCUCGGGUCAUGUCUACAUAGUUCUCGAACCCGCAGGGUCUGCACACUUAAGGUUCGACGUUGUUUUAUGCGUAUUUGAGUUAUAUGGUUGGUUACCGAAUGUUGUUCGGAGUCCCGGAUGAGAUCACGGACGUCACGAGGGUUUCCGGAAUGGUCCGGAAACGAAGAUUGAUAUAUAGGAUGACCUCAUUUGAUUACCGGAAGGUUUUCGGAGUUACCGGGAAUGUACCGGGAAUGACGAAUGGGUUCCGGGAGUUCACCGGGGGGGGCAACCCACCCCGGGGAAGCCCAUAGGCCUUGAGGGUGGCGCACCAGCCCUUAGUGGGCUGGUGGGACAGCCCAAAAGGGCCCUAUGCGCCUAGGAAAGAAAAUCAAAGAGAAAAGAAAAAAAAGGAGGAGGUGGGAAGGGAAGGAAGGACUCCCACCCACCAAACCAAGUCCAACUCGGUUUGGGGGGGGAGCCUUCCCCCCUUGGCUCGGCCGACCCCCUUGGGGCUCCUUGAGCCCCAAGGCAAGGUCCCCUCCCUCCCACCUUUAUAUACGAAGGUUUUAGGGCUGAUUUGAGACGACUUUUCCACGGCAGCCCGACCACAUACCUCCACGGUUUUUCCUCUAGAUCGCAUUUCUGCGGAGCUCGGGCGGAGCCCUGCUGAGACAAGGUCAUCACCAACCUCCGGAGCGCCGUCACGCUGCCAGAGAACUCUUCUACCUCUCCGUCUCUCUUGCUAGAUCAAGAAGGCCGAGAUCAUCGUCGAGUUGUACGUGUGCUGAACGCGGAGGUGCCGUCCGUUCGGUACUAGAUCGUGGGACUGAUCGCGGGAUUGUUCGCGGGGCGGAUCGAGGGACGUGAGGACGUUCCACUACAUCAACCGCGCUCAUAACGCUUCUGCUGUACGAUCUACAAGGGUACGUAGAUCACUCAUCCCCUCUCGUAGAUGGACAUCACCAUGAUAGGUCUUCGUGCGCGUAGGAAAUUUUUUGUUUCCCAUGCGAAGUUCCCCAAUAUUUAUUCUAUAGCGUGUACCUUUUUACUAGUAGGUGACUUUUCAAUGUGCCUCUGAGAGUAGUUCAUCAUGAUAUUGUCUAGGAUUUUUGUGGCUUCUCCUAACGUGAUUUCCAUGAACGUUCCACUUGAGGCGGAGUCCAAGAUAUUUCUAGAAGCAAAAUUCAAGCCAGCGUAGAAGAUUUGUAUAAUCAUCCAAAGACUCAAGCCAUGGGCGGGACAAUUUCUAAUCAUCAAUUUCAUUCUCUGCCAAGAUUGUGCAAACAUGUUCAUGAUCAAGUUGCUUAAAAUUCAUGAUAUCAUUACGUAGAGAGAUAAACUUAGCUAGCGGAAAAUACUUGGAUAUAUAAGCAUCUUUGCACUUGUUCCAAGAAUAAAUACUAUUUUUGGGCAAAGAUGAAAACCAAGUUUUUGCUCGAUCUCGCAACGAGAACGGAAAAAGCUUCAAUUUAAUCACAUCAUUAUCCACAUCUUUCUUCUUUUGCAUAUUGCAAAGCUCAAUGAAGGUAUUAAGAUGGGAUGCGGCAUCUUCACUAGGAAGGCCGGAGAAUUCCUCUUUCAUAACAAGAUUCAGCAAAGCAGCAUUGAUUUCUUAUGAUUCCGCACUAGUGGCGGGAGCAAUCGAAGUACUAAUAAAGUCAUUAUUAUUAGUAUUCGAGAAGUCAUAAAGUUUGGUGUUUUCAGUCAUGGUGACUUCAGCAAGCAAGCAAACACGCAAGCGAACAGAAAUCAAGCGAGAGAAAAGGAAAACGAAAAAGGCAAACGAAAAAGGAAAAUAUUUUGUAAAUUUUUGUUUUUCAGAAGUGUGGGAGAGGAAAACGAGAGGCAAAAAAAGUAAAUGCAAGAUAUGAGUUUGCGAUACUUACUUGGAUGAGUUCUUGACUUGAUCUUCCCCGGCAACGGCGCCAGAAAUCCUUGUGCUGCCUCUUGAGCUUGCGUUGGUUUUUCCCUUGAAGAGGAAAGGGUGAUGCAGCACAGGAGCAGUAAUUAUUUCCCUCAGUUUGAGAACCAAGGUAUCAAUCCAGUAGGAGAAUCGCGUCAAGUCCAGAGUACCUGCGCAAACACAAAAGAGCUUGCACCCAACGCUAUAAAGGGGUUGUCAAUCCCUUAAAGAUUGAUUGCAAAGUGAGAUCUGAAGGCGGAAAGUGCAACAAAGUAAAAGUGUAAGGCUGAAAAUAUGGUGUGAAGUAGACCCGGGGGCCAUAGUGUUCACUAGGGGCUUCUCUCAAAAUAGCAAAUAAUAUGGUGGGUGAACAAAUUACUAUCGAGCAAUUGAUAGAACCACGCAAAGUCAUGACGAUAUCUAAGGCAAUGAUCAUACAUAUAGGCAUCACGUCCGAGACAAGUAGACUGAUACUUUCUGCAUCUACUGCUAUUACUCCACACAUCGACCGCUAUCCAGCAUGCAUCUAGUGUAUUGAGUUCAUGACGAACAGAGUAACGCCUUAAGCAAGAUGACAUGAUGUAGAGGGAUAAACUCAAACCAAUGAUGAAAACCCCAUCUUUUUACCCUUGAUGGCAACAACAUGAUGUGUGCCUCGCUACCCCUUCUGUCACUAGGUGAGGUCACCGCACGGUAUGAACCCAAAACCAAGCACUUCUCCCAUUGCAAGAAUCAUAGAUCUAGUUGGCCAAACAAAACCCACAACUCAAAGAGAAUUACAAGCAUAUGAAAUCAUGCAUAAGAGAGAUCAGAAGAAACUCAAACAAGAUUCAUAGAUAAUCUGAGCAUAAGUCCACAAUUCAUCGGAUCUCGACAAACACACCGCAAAAGAAGAAUACAUUGGAUAGAUCUCCAUGAAGAUCAUGGAGAACUUUGUAUUGAAGAUCCAAGAGAGAGAAGAAGCCAUUUAGUUACUAGCUAUGGACCCGUAGGUCUAUGGUGAACUACUCACGCAUCAUGAGAGAGGUCAUGGUGUUGAUGAAGAAGCCCUCCGUAUCCGAAUCCCCCCUCCGGCAGGGCACCAGAACGUGCCUGAGAUGGGAUCUUGCGGAGACAGAAGCUUGCAGAAGCGGAAAAGUACUUUCGAUGGUAUCUUGAUUUUUUAUGGAAUUAUAGAAAAUAUAUAGGCACAAAACCUAGGGCAAAGGAGGCUCAGGGAGCCCACAAGCCAGGGGGCGCGGGCCCCCCUAGCCGCGCCAUGAGGGCUUUUGGGGUCCCUGGUGGCCCCCUGCCCUGAUUCUCCGGCUUCUCGAUCUUUUUCUCUUGCGGAAAAAAUCUUUUUGGCAGUUUCAUUCCGUUUGGGCUCCGUUCAAAAUCCUCCUCUGAAAGGGGUCAAAAACAUGGAAAAAACAGGAAUUGGCACUUGGCACUGAGUUAAUAAGUUAGUUCCAAAAAAUAUAGAAGGCAUGCAAAACAUCCAAAGUUUGACAAGAUAAUAGCAUGAAACCAUUAAAAAUUAUAGAUACGUUCGAGACGUAUCAAGCAUCCCCAAGCUUAACUCCUGCUCGUCCUCGAGUAGGGAAGUGAUAAAGACUGAAUUUUUGAUGUGGAAUGCUACCUAGCAUAGUUGUCCUUUGCAACUUCUUUCACGUGACAUGAAUGUUCAGAUCCGUAAGAUUUGAAACAAUAGUUUGCUAUUGACAUGAAAACAAUAAUACUUCAAGCAAACUAGCAAGGUAAUCAUGAACUUUCAAAAUAACAAGGCCAAGGAAAGUUAUCCCUACAAAAUCAUAUAGUCCGGCUAUGCUCCAUCAUCCUCACACAACUAAUGUAAAUCAUGCACAACCCCGGUAUUGGCCAAGUAAUUGUUUUCGCACUCUUACUUUCUCAAACCUUUUACAACUAUCACGCAAUACAUGAGCGUCAGCCAUGGAUAUAGCACUAUAGGUGGAAUAGAGUGUGGUGGUGGUUGUGAGACAAAAAGGAGGAGAUGGUCACAUUGACUCGGCGUAUCAAAGGGCUAUGGAGAUUCCCAUUAAUAGAUAUCAAUGUGAAUGAGUAGGGAUUGCCAUACAAGGGAUGCACUAGAGCUAUAAGUAUGUGAAUGCUCAAAAGGAAAACUAGUGGGUGUGCAUCCAACUUGCUUUCUCACGAAGACCUAGGGCAAUUUUGAGGAAGCCCAUCAUUGGAAUAUACAAGCCAAGUUAUAUAAUGAAGAUUCCCACUAGCAUAUGGUAGUGACAAAGCAAGAAGCUCUCAAUCAUGAAGAACAUGGUGCUAUUAUGAAGCACAAGUGUGGAAAAAGAUAGUAGCAUUGUCCCUUCUCUCCUUUUCUCUUUUUAUUUUUAUUUUUAUUUUUAUUUGGGCUCUUAGCCCUCUCUUUUUUUCUCUUUUUUUGUAUGGGCUCUUUGGACUCUUCUCUUCCUUUUUAAUUUCCUCACACGGGACAAUGCUCUAAUAAUGAUGAUCAUUACACUUUUAUUUACUCAAAGCUCAAAGCUUAGAACGAUGAUGCCUCUAUAGGAAAUGACAAUCAAUAGAUUAAUUAUGCUCUGACUUCCUAACAUAGCGGUUCACCAUACGUGCAUGGUACGGGAAUCACUAACUUCAACACAAGUAUUUCUAGAUUCACAACACCCUACUAACAUAGCUCUUAAUAUUACCAAAUCCACGUCUCAAAACUAAUUGAGAGGAAUCAAAACUUCUCUUUCUACUCAAUGCACAUGAAGCUGGAGGUUUUGUAUCCUCUUUGGGUUCCUAUCACCUUUGGGACUACUUUCAUACCAUAAGCCAACUACCAAGUCACGCACCGCCGUGCUCUAAAAGAUAUAAGUGAAGCACAUAGAGCAAAAUUAUCUAGCUCAAAAGAUAUAAGUGAAGCACUAUGAGCAUUCUAGCAAAAUCACGAUGAGUGCAUGUCUCUCUCUCUCAAAAAGGUGUGCAGCAAGGAAGAUUGUGACAAAACAAAAAGAAAAGACUCCUAUGAUACAAGACGCUCCAAGCAAAACACAUAUCAUGUGGUGAAUAAAAAUAUAGCUCCAAGUAAUGUUACCGAUGGAUUGAAGUCGAAAGAAGGGAUGCCUUCGCGGGGCAUCCCCAAGCUUAGGUUUUUGGUGUCCUUGAAUAUGGAUUGGGAUGCCUUGGUAAUCCCCAAGCUUGAGCUCUUUCCACUACUUAUCUCUUUGUCCAUGAGAACAUCACCCAAAACUUGAAAACUUCACAACACAAAACUUAAACAGAAACUUGUGAUAACAUUAGCACAAGAAAACAAACUACCACUUUUUUUGGUACCGUAGAAAACUUGAAUUCUAUCUAUAUUGGUGUUGGGCUACUGUAUUCUCACUUUUCCAUGGCUAGUACCCCUCGAUACUAACCAUAGUUUCAUCAAAACAAGCAACCAACUCAACAAAAACAGAUACUGUCAAAAACAUACCAGUCUGUAGAAAUCUGUAUACUUCGUAUACUUCUGGUACCUCAAAACUUCUGAAAAAUUACGACUGCUUGGGCAAAAGGCAUAUCAACCAGCAUAAAAAAGAAUCAACUCAAAAGCUCUUUCUGAAUAAAAAUGAAAAAUCAUCUCGUGAGCGAAAAGUUUAUGUCUUUUUCCAGCAGGUUCAAACAACCAUUACCAAGACUAGUCAUAAAGGUUUUGCUUGGCUCGAACACAAAAAGAAACACAAAAAACACAAUCACAACAUAAUUAUGAUGGUUUGGAUGCAACAAAACAGAAAGAAAAGAUAAAUUCAUUGGCUUGCCUCCCAACAAGCGCUAUUGUUUAACGCCCUUAGCUAGGCAUAAAAGCGAUAGAAUCACGUAUCGUCGUCUUUGGUGCUCAAACCAUAAGUGGCCCUCAUCAUGGAUUCAUAAGGCAAUCUUAUUUUCUUUCUAGGAAAGUGUUCCAUGCCCUUCUUUAAAGGAAAUUGAAAUCUAAUAUUCCCUUCCUUCAUAUCGAUGAUAGCAUCGAUAGUCCUUAGGAAAGGUCUACCAAGAAUACUAGGGCAUGUAGGAUUGCAAUCAAUGUCAAGCACAAUGAAAUCCAUGGGUACAUAGUUCCUAUUUGCAAUAAUAAGAACAUCAUUGAUCCUUCCCAUGGGUUUCUUGACAGUAGAAUCCGCAAGAUGCAAAUUAAGAGAACACUCUUCAAUCUCAUUAAAACCCAGAACAUCACAAAAAGACUUUGGAAUCGCGGAAACACUAGCACCCAAAUCACACAAAGCAUUGCAUUCAUAGUUUUUGAUUUUGAUUGUGAUGGUAGAUUCCCACUCAUCAUGAAGCUUUCUAGGGAUAGAGACUUCCAAUUCAAGUUUCUCUUCAAGAGAUUUUAUCAUAGCUUCGACGAUAUGAUCAGUAAAGGCCUUGUUUUGGCUAUAAGCGUGUGGAGAGUUUAACAUGGAUUGCAUCAAGGAAAUGCAUUAUAUCAAGGAGAAACUAUCAUCAUUGGAUUCCUUGAAAUCCAUGGUAGUAAUUUCAUUACUACUCAAAUCUUUAAUAUCUUCUACUCCACUUUCAAUGCUUUUAGCAUCAAGAUAGAUGGACUCCGAAUCAUAGGGGCGCUUUUCAACCAAAGUGGAUUCAUAUCCAGCCCCAUAAUCAUUAGGUUUGUCACAAGAAAACAAAGAUUCAAUGGGAGUCACACCAAGCACUUUAAGAUCUUCAUGAUUCUUAUCACGAGAACACGCCUUUUUAAGCCAUUCAUGUCUAGCACGAAUUUGGGCCGUUCUUUCUUGGCUCUCAAUCAUGGAAACACGCAUAGCUUUCAAAGUUUCAUCCAUAUUGAUCUUGGGAGGAGCACAUAUAACUUUCAAAGCAUCAACAUCACUAGACAUUCUAUCAACGCUCUUAGCCAAAUCGUCAAUUUUGAGUAGCUUUUCCUCUCUGGACGCAUUGAAAAUCUUUUGUGAGUUGAUGAACUCUUUGAUAUUACUCUCUAGAUCAGAGGGUAAUCUAUUGUAAUUUCCAUGAGUAUUGUUGUAGGAGUUUCCAAUGUUAUUAGAGGAGUUACUAGGAAAAGGCCUAGGAACAUAGUUUCCUCUAAAAGCAUUGUUGUUGCCAAAAUUAUUCCUACCAACAAAAUUAACGUCCAAGCUAGCGUUGCUACUCUCAAUCAAGGAAGACAAGGGCAUAUCAUUACGAUCUAAAGGAGCACUUCUACUAGCAACCAAAUUCAUUAACUCAUCCAUCUUAGCACUCAACGAGUUAAUUUCUUCUAUAGCGUGUACCUUCUUACUAGUAGGUGACCUUUCAGUGUGCCACUGAGAGUAAUUCGUCAUGAUGUUGUCUAGUAGUUUCGUGGCUUCGCCUAACGUGAUUUCCAUGAACAUUCCACCUGAGGCGGAGUCCAAGAUAUUUCUAGAAGCGAAAUUCAAGCCAGCGUAAAAGAUUUGAAUAAUCAUCCAAGGACUCAAGCCAUGAGCAGGACAAUUUCUAAUCAUCAAUUUCAUUCUCUCCCAAGAUUGUGCAACAUGUUCAUGAUCAAGUUGCUUGAAAUUCAUGAUAUCAUUAUGGAGGGAGAUAAUCUUAGCCGGCGGAAAAUAAUUGGAUAUAUAAGCAUCUUUGCACUUAUCCCAAGAAUCGAUACUAUUUUUGGGCAAAGAAGAAAACCAAGUUUUUGCCCGAUCUCGCAACGAGAAAAGAAAAAGCUUCAAUUUAAUCACAUCAUUAUCCACAUAUUUCUUCUUUUGCAUAUCGCAAAGCUCAAUGAAGGUAUUGAGAUGGGAUGCGACAUCUUCACUAGGAAGGCCAGAGAAUUGCUCUUUCAUAACAAGAUUGAGCAAAGCGGCAUUGAUUUCGUAUGACUCCGCACUAGUGGAGCAAUCGGAGUACUAAUAAAAUCAUUAUUAUUAGUAUUCGAGAAGUCACAAAGUUUGGUGUUUUCAUUCAUGGUGACUCCAGCAAGCAAGCAAGCACUCAAGCGAACAAAGAGCAAGCGAGAAAAAAGGCGAACGAAAAGGCAAACGAAAAAGGCAAAUUGUGAAGUGGGGGAGAGGAAAACAAGAGGCAACUGGCAAACAAAGUAAAUGCAAGAGAUAAGUUUGCGACACCUACUUGGAUGAGUUCUUCACUUGAUCCUCCCCGGCAACGGCGCCAGAAAUUCUUCUGCUACGGCAACAAAAGUCCUUCCCCGGCAACGCCAGGAAUUCUUCUUGCUACUUCUCUUGCUUGCGUUGGUUUUUCCCUUGAAAAGGAAAGGGUGAUGAAGCACAGGAGCAGUAAGUAUUUCCCUCAGUUUGAGAACUAAGGUAUCAAUCCAGUAGGAGAAUCUCGUCAAAUCUAGAGUACCUGCGCAAACACAUAAGAGCUUGCACCCAACGCUAUAAAGGGGUUGUCAAUCCCUUCAAGAUUGAUUGCAAAGUGAGAUCUAAAGGCGAAAAAUGCAACGAAGAAAAAGUGUAAGGCUGAAAAUAUGGUGUGGAGUAGACCCGGGGGCCAUAGUGUUUACUAGAGGCUUCUCUCAAAAUAGCAAAUAUCACGAUGGGUGAACAAAUUACUGCCGAGCAAUUGAUAGAACCGCGCAAAGUCAUGACGAUAUCUAAGGCAAUGAUCAUACAUAUAGGCAUCACGUCCGAGACAAGUAGACCGAUACUUUCUGCAUCUACUACUAUUACUCCACACAUCGACCGCUAUCCAGCAUGCAUCUAGUGUAUCAAGUUCAUGACGAACAGAGUAACACCUUAAGCAAGAUGACAUGAUGUAGAGGGAUAAACUCAAACCAAUGAUGAAAACCCCAUCUUUUUACCCUUGAUGGCAACAACACGAUGCGUGCCUCGCAACCCCUUCUGUCACUGGGUGAGGUCACCGCACGGUAUGAACCCAAAACCAAGCACUUCUCCCAUUGCAAGAAUCAUAGAUCUAGUUGGCCAAACAAAACCCACAACUCGAAGAGAAUUACAAGGAUAUGAAAUCAUGCAUAAGAGAUAUCAGAAGAAACUCAAAUAAGAUUCAUAGAUAAUUUGAUCAUAAAUCCACAAUUCAUCGGAUCUCGACAAACACACCGCAAAAGAAGAUUACAUCAGAUAGAUCUCCAUGACGAUCAUGGAGAACUUUGUAUUGAAGAUCCAAGAGAGAGAAGAAGCCAUCUAGUUACUAGUGAUGGACCCGUAGGUCUAUGGUGAACUACUCACGCAUCAUCAGAGAGGUCAUGGUGUUGAUGAAGAAGCCCUCUGUAUCCGAAUCCCCCCUCCGGUAGGGCACCAGAACGUGCCCCAGAUGGGAUCUUGCAGAGACAGAAGCUUGCGGCGGUGGAAAAGUACUUUCGAUGAUCUCCUGAUUUUUUAUGGAAUUUUAGAGAAUAUAUAGGCACAAAACCUAGGGCAAAGGAGGCUCAGGGAGCCCACAAGCCAGGGGGCGCGGGUCCCCUGGCCGCGCCAUGAGGGCUUGUGGGGUCCCUGCUGGCCCCCUGCCCUGAUUCUCCGGCUUCCCGAUCUUUUUCUGUUCCGAAAAAAAUAUUUUUGGCAGUUUCAUUCCUUUUGGGCUCCGUUCAAAAUCCUCCUAUGAAAGGGUCAAAAACAUGGAAAAAGCAGGAACUGUUACUUGGCACUGAGUUAAUAAGUUAGUCCCACAAAAUAUAUAAAAGGCAUGCAAAACAUCCAAAGUUUGACAAGAUAAUAGCAUGAAACCAUAAAAAAUUAUAGAUACGUUGGAGACGUAUCACUCAUGCAUCAUCAAAGGAGCAAGAGUGAGGAUGUCGAACCCCUCCAUGAUCGUGUUCCUCUCCGAAAUGGGCUCAAGAUUGGAUUUCGUGGCUCUGGAACUUGCGGUGACUCAAAUGAUUUUUAGUCGACUCCUCAUGGGUUUUCUGAAUAUUGGGGUAUUUAUAGAGCCGAGAGGUGGUAGAUAAGCCUCCUGAGGGAUCCACUAGACACGAGGCAGUGCCACGGGCCUCUAGCGUGCCCUGAUGUCAAGUGGGACCCCUAGGCAACCUCUGCUGCUCAUUCUCUGUUCCCAAUUGUCCUUCUGGUCUAAAAAAUACCCGUAAAGUUUCACGGCAAUUGGACCUCAUGUGAUAUGGAUUUUCUGCAAAGGAAAAAACAACAAAAACAGGUUCUGGCACUAGGCACUAUGUCGAUAGGUUAGUCCCAAGAAGGUUUAUGGAUGCACAAGUAGUAUCUUGCUACUGCGACAACAGACCUUCCCUCGCAACGGCGUGAGGAAUCCUGCUGCUAUGGCUACGCCUAUAGGGAUUUCCUUAGCAAAUAUGCAAAUGAUUUCCCCGCGGCCUUGGAGCCUUGCGUUGGUGUUCCCUUGAAGAGGAAAGGGUGAUGUAGCACAGGGGUGGUAUGUAUUUCCCUCAGUUUGAGAACCAAGGUACCAAUCCAGUAGGAGGAGAGUUCAAGUACCUGCACAAACACAAAGAGCUUGCACCCAACGCUAUGAAGGGGUUGUCAAUCCCUUAUAGAUUGUUUGCAAAGUGAGAACUGAAAGCAAAGAGUAAACAAAGCAAAGUAAACGUGAAAGUGGAAACGAUAGUUGUGAAUAGACCCGGGGGCCGUAGCGUUCACUAGUGGCUUCUCUCAUGAAAGCAAGUAGAUGGUGGGUGAACGAAUUACCGUCGAGCAAUUGAUAGAACCGCGUAAAAUCGUGACGUUAUCUAAGGCAAUGAUUAUAUCUAUAGGCAUGACGUCCAAAACAAGUAGACCGAUACUUUCUGCAUCUACUACUAUUACUCCACAUGUCGACCGCUAACCAGCAUGCAUCUAGUGUAUUAAGUUCAUGAGAACAGAGUAACGCCUUAAGAAAGAUGACAUGAUGUAGAUGGACAAUCUCAUAUCUACGAUAAAAGCCCAUCUUCUUACCCUUGAUGGCAACAACACGAUGCGUGCCUUGCUGCCCCUUCUGUCACUGGGAAAGGUCACCACACGGUAUGAACCAAAACCAAUCACUUCUCCCAUUGCAAGAAUCAUAGAUCUAGUUGGCCAAACAAAACCCAAGACUCGGAGAGACUUACAAGGAUAUCAAAUCAUGCAUAUAAGAAAUCAGCAAAGACUCAAAUAUAAUUCAUAGAUAAUCUGAUCAAAAAUCUACAAUUCAUGGGAUCUCGACAAACACACCGCCAAAGAGGAUUACAUCAGAUAGAUCUCCAUGAAGAUCAUGGAGAACUUUGUAUUGAAGAUCCAAGAGAGAGAAGAAGCNNNNNNNNNNNNNNNNNNNNNNNNNNNNNNNNNNNNNNNNNNNNNNNNNNNNNNNNNNNNNNNNNNNNNNNNNNNNNNNNNNNNNNNNNNNNNNNNNNNNUCUUGUUCAUCGUGAUCGAAUUUUAUCUAUAAUUUUUGGCCUCAUGAAGGAGAAAGUAUCGCUCUAGCUUGGGGGAGGCUGAAGUCAUUGUUAUAUUCAUGCCCCAAUCAUGAGCUCCCGGGGGAAAUUAUUAUUCAAAAAAUUUAUGCUCGGCUUUCACGUAAUGAUCAAACCAUGCUCGAUACUUCUUGUUCUGGUUCUUUUAUGAAGAAGACUAUUGAAUUCAGGUGGGAUCUUUUGGAAAGAAUUAAACGCUACUCUGAAGAUUGGGAAAUCGAUGAAGGUAAAGGGUGAGGUAUAAAACUUAAGUUUGACUAUGUUAAAUCUUUUAUGAAUACCGAUGCUUUCAAUGAUUUUAGUACUAAAUAUGGACUUGACUGUGAGAUAGUAGCCUCAUUUUGUGAAACCUUUGCUGCUCAUGUUGAUCUCCCUAAAGAGAAAUGGUUUAAAUAUCAUCCACCUAUUAGAGAAAAAGUUGAAUAACCAAUUAAAGUUCAGGAUGAACUNNNNNNNNNNNNNNNNNNNNNNNNNNNNNNNNNNNNNNNNNNNNNNNNNNNNNNNNNNNNNNNNNNNNNNNNNNNNNNNNNNNNNNNNNNNNNNNNNNNNAGUAGACCCUUCUUGAACACUGUUAAUGCUCAAACACAUUGCAAAACGGAAACUGUCACUGUUAAUUUUGGUGGUAUGUCUCAUGAGUUUCAUUUCUCCAAGUUCAGUAAGCAACCCCAUGAUAAAGAAUUGCGUAAGGAUGAAGUAAUUGGUCUUGCUUCUAUUUCCAUUCCUCCUACUAAUCCAUUAGAACAAUAUUUGCUAGACCAUGAAAACGAUAUGCAUAUGAGUGAAAUAAAUGAACUAGAUAAAAUGUUCUAUGAGAAAAAGCCUAUCCUUAAACACAACUUGCCUGGUGAAACUGUAGGAGGUCAUCCUCCACCCAAGGGUGAUCCUAUGUUUGAAUUAAAGCAAUUACCCGACACUUUGAAAUAUGCUUAUCUUGAUGAAAAGAAGAUAUAUCCUGUUAUUAUGAGUGCUAACCUCACAGUGCAUGAAGAAGAAAGAUUGUUAAAAACUUUAAGGAAGGACCAAGCUGCUAUUGGAUAUACUCUUGAUGAUCUUAAGGUCAUUAAUCCCAUUCUCUGUGAGCGUAAGAUUAAUAUGGAACCAGAUGUUAAACCAGUUGUUGAUCACCAACGAAGACUGAGUCCGAAAAUGAAAGAAGUGGUAAGAAAGGAGGUAUUAUUGUUGUCCCUAAUGAUAAAAAUGGACUCAUUCCACAAACAAUUGUGACUCGCUAUAGAAUGGUAAUUGAUUUUAGAAAACUAAACAAAGCUACUAGAAAAGAUCACUAUCCUUUACCUUUCGUAGACCAAAUGCUAGAAAGAUUAUCGAAGCACACACAUUUUUUGCUUUCUAGAUGGUUAUUAUGUUUUUAUCAAAUACCUAUGUCACAACGUGAUCAAGAGAAAAUCACAUUUACCUGCCCAUUUGGAGCCUAUGCUUAUAUACGUAUGCCUUUUGGAUUAUGCAAUGCACCUGCUACCUUUCAAAGAUGCAUGAUUGCUAUAUUCUCUGAUUUUUGUGAAAAUAUUGUUGAGGUUUUCAUGGAUGAUUUUUCCAUUUAUGAAACUUCUUUUGAUGAUUUCUUAAGCAACCAUGGUUGAGUUUUGCAAAGAUGUGAGCAAACUAACCUUGUCUUGAAUUGGGAGAAGUGCCACUUUAUGGUAAACGAAGGUAUUAUCUUGGGUCAUAAAAUUUCCGAACGAGGUAUUGAGGUGGAUAAUGCUAAAGUUGAUGCAAUUGAUAAGAUGCCAUGUCCUAAAGAUAUUAAAGGUAUCAGUAGUUUCCUUGGUCAUGUUGGUUUCUAUAGAAGGUUUAUUGAAGACUUUUCUAAAAUCUCUACACCUCUUACUAAUUUAUUACAAAAGGAUGUUCCUUUCGUUUUUGAUGAUGAUUGUGUAGAAUCCUUUGAAACACUUCAGAAAGACUUAACUUGUGCACCUAUUAUUGAACCACCUGAUUGGAUCUUGGCUUUUGAAAUUAUGUUUGACGCUAGUGAUUAUGUUGUUGGUGCUGUUCUAGGACAAAGAGUUGAUAAGAAAUUAAAUGUUAUCCAUUAUGCUAGCAACACUCUAGUCAGUGCUGAAAGGACCACAAUGUCUCCUAGAGGGUGGGGGGUGAAUAGGCUUUUUAAAAACUUCUAUGGUUUGGCUUUAUCCUAAUGCGGAAAUAAACUAAGAGGAUACUUUUCAAGCACAAAUCCUAAAUAUACUAGGCUCAACUAUGUGCACCAAAAACUCUACUAAGAUGAGCACAACAAGAUUACUCACAAGCACAAGUAAGUUACACAAACUUACUUGAGCAAUAUCACAAGAUAUGUAAGUGUAUGACACAAGUUAACAAUUCACACUAAACACAAGAUACAUCAAUAGCAGCAAGUAUGAAUUGCGGGAUAUAAAGUGUAGGCCUAAAUGAUUAAUCUUUAUAGGUAAAUAGACAACACAAUAUAAUAAGGACAACAAUAUGUAGUGAAUGUACGCUCAAGUAACCAAGGUAAACCACAAGUAAGGAGUUAGGGUUAGGGAUAACUGAAGUCACAAACACGAGGAUGUAUCUCGAUGUUUACUUCCUUGGAGGGAAGCUAGUCACCAUUAGAGAGGUGGAUGUUACCACGAAGGCACACAAAAGCUAUGAAGGCUCACCCUAUUCUCCUUGAGAUAUCACCACAAAGGCAAUUCCCAACCACUAGUGGUAGACCUUGAGGCGGCCUCCAAACUUUCACAAACUUUUCGGGGGACAAAUCACAAGUUGAUUCCUCACCAAAGCACUCCUACCACCUAGCAGUAUCCAACCUCCAAGAGUAACAAGAUCAAAGGGGAAAUGCUCAAGACUUGCUCAAAUCAUAAAUUUCUUUGGUCAAAAUAGAGAGAGGAGUAUGCUUGGAUGAAAUCUCUCUAUAGAACUCUCGGAAAUCUCUUCGCGAUUUACCACAAGAAUGCUCAAAUCCUUCUCUCUCAAAGUCCACCAAAAGCAAUAAUGAUAUGGAGGGAUGGAAGAGGAGAGGAACAAUUUAUAAGGUCAACGAAUGAACCCUAGAUCCAUGGGAUAGUUUUCCCCCAAAUGGAUUGGAGUUUUGAGGCUCGGGGGAGAAGGAGAGAGCUCAAAACAAUAGGGAAAUCUCAGAUCCAAAAGCCUCUAACUCGUUGGGGAAGAAGGGUACCUUAUAUAGUGCCCCACCAAAUCUACCCGUUAUGCAUAGAAAAAUGUAGCCCGGAACUUGUCGGCUUCGUGGAACUUCCGGGCUCCCUAUUGAGGCACACAAUGUAAAGUUUUUGGUUAGCCCGGAACUUGCCCCGUAACCUGCCCGGAACUUCCGGGAGGCCCGGAACUAUCGGGCUCCCUUUGGGCCACAUUUUCGCAAACUUUCUGUUUAGCCCGGAACCUUCCCGGAACUUCCGACAAGCUAGUCAUAUUUACAAAAAAAUAGAUAGAGUUCAUACCAGCUUUUCCAGUCUCAUUCACUUCAUCAUAUAUCAUCAUUAUUGCCUUUCACUUGCACGAUCGAACGAUGUGAACAAUAAUAAGAGUGCUCGUGCAUUGGACUAAGCUGAAUCUGCAGGCAAACACAAAGGAGAAGACAAAGUAAUAUGGCUCUUUAACAAAUGAACAGGUAUGCAUGCGAGAGCCACUAAACAUUGUAACCAAUAUCUUCUAUCUUGACCCAAAGAAAAAGAAAACUAUUUACACGGGAAAGCUCCCAACAAGCAAAAGAAGAAAGGAAAAUCUUUUUGGGUUUUCUCAAAAGGACACAAAACAAGAAAACAAGAAAAAGAAAAUAAACUAGCAUGGAUAAUACAGUGGCAAAGUGUAAACACCGACUAACAAAGUGAAAGCAUAAGCAUGAAUGUAAAGUUGGUGCAAACACGUACUCCCCCAAGCUUAGGCUUUUGGCCUAGCUUGGUCUACUCCCAAGGAGGGAAAUAACCAGCUCCGGGAUACUCCGGAGCGGACUGUGGAUGCCACUGCUGUGUGAGCUCCUCUGGCUCCCACUGAUAAACUGGUGUCUGGUACUCGACUGGCGGCUCGGGCACGGGCACCUGUGGUUGGGCCAAACCCCAAUACACGUAGAUGUCCGAGGGCAUAAUAAUGUACCUUCCUGCAUAAAGGUUGAACAUAGAAGGAGCAGGCAAAGUAAUAGUCUCUCGAGUACCCUGACUAAAUACCAGGUUAUAAAUCAUCCGUCUACUAGCAUCUCUAUCUAGAUAAUAAUGGCGAACCAUGCUGUCAUAAUCCAGAUAUUUCUCAAGAAGAAGCAUUUCUUCUUCCUCGCGAAGUCUAAUAGGUUUCUGAAAGUGUCUAGCAAGACGAGUAGCAUAGAUACCUCCAUAGACGACACCUUUGGAACGGUUUGUGUUCAACCGCUGAGCUACUAUAGCACCUAGGCUAUAAGUCUUAUUGUUAUAAAGGCCUUCGUGCAAAACCGCAAGGCCUGGAGAGCUAAGUGAUCCAGCCUCCCCACGGCGAAUCAAACAUUUUCCCACAAAUAAUGAGAAGUACCGAAGCACGGGAAAAUGUAUGCUAGCAAUUCUAGUGCGAGACACUCCUCUCUCCUCUCCAACAGGAAUAGUACCUAUGAAAUCCUCCAAGUCCCGUGGACGAGGAUCAUGAAUAUCCCCAACAUAAGGUAAUUUGCAUACAUUGCAAAAAUCCUGUAGUUUCAUGCACUGGGGGAUAUCGUAUAACAUGAACUCAACCAUAGGAGGAUUCUUCCUCGGAUAAAAGUUGAAGCUUUGAACGAAAAUGUUGGUGAGGAGGAGGUAUUGUGGGCACUUAUCUUCAACGAACGCGGUAAGACCUGCGUUCUCCACCAAGUAAUAAAAGUCUUCAUAAAGCCCAGCGGCGCGCAAAAAUUCAUCACUUGGCCACUCGCACGCUCGAACUUUUGUGACUCGAGGAACAACGUACUUGGGGUGGUUCUUCUCAUCCUCCUUGGGGUUACGUCUUGAAGAGCCUCUCAAGAACCUCCUCAUCUUUUCCCUUUUCUAACUCUGAAAAAUUCUGAAAUUUUUAGAGACUUUGAAAGAAAAGUGAGUAUGGAUUAACCCAACUCGUAGCAACUACUCCUACUAGUGCCUAGAGACCAUAUCACGCGCUAAAACUACUUGGGACCAGCUAAAAUCAACAUUUCAAGCUCAAGAACAGGGUCACCAAGGUAGCAAGAAUACGCGAAGGAUAAAGAACUAGAGUAGAAACUAAUUGGACCAAUGGAGGAGUCACUUACCAAGGAGUAAUUUCCCCAAAACGGUUCGGAGAAUGGUGCUUUGAGCAAGGAGAUCGAAAAUCACAGCCAAAUGAGCAAGAACACGGGGUUGAGCUGCGAAACAAUUUUUUCUGGAGGUAGAAGAAGAGGAUGGGAGCUGGAAUGAGUGGAGGGGGUCCCUGUGGGCCCCAUAAGCUUGGUGGCCGCUGCCAGGGGGGAGGCCGCGGCUACAGGGCUUGUGGCCCACUGGUGUGGCCCCCAGGCCAGCUCUUAGUCCUAGUAUUUUUCAAAUAUUCCAGAAAAAAUCAUAUUUGAUUUUCAGGACCAUCGGAGAACUUUUAUUUUCGGGGUACUUUUCUCCGGGACGCUAAAACAGAAAACAGGAAAAACUAAACUAAAUCUAUCAUUUUUCUUCUAACCAACAGAAAGUGAAAGCUUAAAACAGAGGUUUGUGACUCUUUGAUUCAUCCAUCUCAUGGUCAUCAAAAGAAAUCCGCCAAUGGGGUUGAUCAAAUCCCCAUGACAAAACCUUUUCAAUUCGCAAAAGGAAAUGGAGAAUUGUCGAAUAGCCACUAAGUCACCUCAAUGGGAAUAUGAAUCUCCCCAACAAGCAAAUCAUACUUCAUCUUGACACGAGGAAUAGGGCAUUCAAAGCUCCCAAUAAGAAUCGAUGAAGUUUUUUCGAUAGCAUUGAUGCAAUGUACUUGAUACCGUUUCUUCGGAAAGUGCACUGUAUGCUCACUACCGUUGACAUGGAAAAUGACAUUGCCUUUGUUGCAAUCUAUAAUAGCCCCUGCAGUGUUUAAAAAGGGUCUGAUUUGGAUCCCUAUGUUUAAUGCUAUGGUUAGAAUUUAUUCUUAAUACUUUUCUCGUAGUUGCAGAUGCUUGUCGGAGGGUUAAUCAUAAGUGGGAGUCUUGUUCAAGUAAGAACAACACCCAAGCACCGGUCCACCCGCAUAUAAAAUUAUCAAAGUACCGAACGCGAAUUAACCCGACAUGACAAAAGAGACUAGAUGAAAUUCCCUUGUGCCCUCAAGAAUGCUUUGCCUAUUAUAAGAAACGGUUCCGUCCUGUCCUUUGCCACAAAAGGAUUGGGAUACAUUGCUGCACUUAUUGUUACUAUUGCUACUCGUUAAGAAAUAUCUUGCUAUCAAACAACUUGUUACCGCUAUUUCAGUGCUCACAGAAAUUACCUUGCUGAAAACCACUUGUCAUUUCCUUCCGCUCCUCAUUUAAUUUGACACUCUUACUUAUCAAAAGGACUAUGAUUGAUCCCCUAUACUUGCGGGGUCAUCAAGACUCUUUUCUGGCGCCGUUGCCGAGGAGUGAAGCGCCUUUGGUAAGGAAAAAUUUAUAUUACAUGCUGAAAUACUUGUCACUAUGGAAAGUAAUCCUUCGAGGGGCUUGUUUGGGGUAUCUUCACCUUGAUCGAAAACACCAAGACUUGUCCCUCAACCUGCCGAACCUACUCAAAUUUUUUAUUAUGAAAUUCCUUCAGGUAUGAUAGAGAAACUGCUAGCUAAGCCUUAUGAAGGAGAUGGAACAAAACAUCCCGAUAAGCACCUAAUCUAUAUGGAUGAAGUUUGCGGAUUAUUUAAGCUUGCAGGUUUAUCCGGAGAUGCAGUCAAGAAGAAUUUUUUCCCUUUAUCUUUGGGGGGGGGAAUCAUUGACAUUGUAUAGGCUAUGUGAUGAUACAAGACCUUGGAAUUGGAAUCGAUUGCAAUUGGAGUUUCACCAAAAAAAAUAUCCUAUGCAUCUUGUUCAUCGUGAUCGAAUUUUAUCUAUAAUUUUUGGCCUCAUGAAGGAGAAAGUAUCGCUCUAGCUUGGGGGAGGCUGAAUUCAUUGUUAUAUUCAUGCCCCAAUCAUGAGCUCCUGAGGGAAAUUAUUAUUCAAAAAAUUUAUGCUCGGCUUUCACGUAAUGAUCAAACCAUGCUCGAUACUUCUUGUUCUGGUUCUUUUAUGAAGAAGACUAUUGAAUUCAGGUGGGAUCUUUUGGAAAGAAAUAAACGCUACUCUGAAGAUUGAGAAAUCGACGAAGGUAAAGGGUGAGGUAUAAAACUUAAGUUUGACUAUGUUAAAUCUUUUAUGAAUACCGAUGCUUUCAAUGAUUUUAGUACUAAAUAUGGACUUGACUGUGAGAUAGUAGCCUCAUUUUGUGAAACCUUUGCUGCUCAUGUUGAUCUCCCUAAAGAGAAAUGGUUUAAAUAUCAUCCACCUAUUAAAGAAAAAGUUGAAUAACCAAUUAAAGUUCAGGAUGAACUAUCAUUUGUUGGGGAACGUCGCAUGGGAAACAAAAUUUUUCCUACGCGCACGAAGACCUAUCAUGGUGAUGUCCAUCUACGAGAGGGGAUGAGUGAUCUACGUACCCUUGUAGACCGUACAGCAGAAGCGUUUAGAGAACACGGUUGAUGUAGUGGAACGUCCUCACGUCCCUCGAUCCGCCCCGCGAACAAUCCCGCGAUCAGUCCCACGAUCUAGUACCGAAUGGACGGCACCUCCGCGUUCAGCACACGUACAGCUCGACGAUGAUCUCGGCCUUCUCGAUCCAGCAAGAGAGACGGAGAGGUAGAAGAGUUCUCCGGCAGCGUGACGGCGCUCCGGAGGUUGGUGAUGACCUUGUCUCAGCAGGGCUCCGCCCGAGCUCCGCAGAAACGCGAUCUAGAGGAAAAACCGUGGAGGUAUGUGGUCGGGCUGCCGUGGAAAAGUCAUCUCAAAUCAGCCCUAAAACCUCCGUAUAUAUAGGUGGGAGGGAGGGGGCCUUGCCUUGGGGGUCCAAGGACCCUCAAGGGGGUCGGCCGAGCCAAGGGGGAGGACUCUCCCCCCCAAACCGAGUUGGACUAGGUUUGGUGGGAGGGAGUCCCCCUUCCUUCCCACCUCCUCUUGAUUUUCUUCUCCUUGGCGCAUAGGGCACUUGUUGGCUGUCCCACCAGCCCACUAAGGGCUGGUGUGUCUCCCCAAAGGCCUAUGGGCUUCCCGGGGGUGGGUUGCCCCCCCGGUGAACUCCCGGAACCCAUUCGUCAUUCCCGGUACAUUCCCGGUAACUCCGAAAACCUUCCGGUAAUCAAAUGAGGUCAUCCUAUAUAUCAAUCUUCGUUUCUGGACCAUUCCGGAAACCCUCGUGACGUCCGUGAUCUCAUCUGGGACUCCGAACAACAUUCAGUAACCAACCAUAUAACUCAAAUACACAUAAAACAACGUCGAACCUUAAGUGUGCAGACCCUGCGGGUUCGAGAACUAUGUAGACAUGACCCGAGAGACUCCUCGGUCAAUAUCCAAUAGCGGGACCUGGAUGCCCAUAUUGGAUCCUACAUAUUCUACGAAGAUCUUAUCGUUUGAACCUCAGUGCCAAGGAUUCGUAUAAUCCCGUAUGUCAUUCCCUUUGUCCUUCGGUAUGUUACUUGCCCGAGAUUCGAUCGUCAGUAUCCGCAUACCUAUUUCAAUCUCGUUUACCGGCAAGUCUCUUUACUCGUUCCGUAAUACAAGAUCCCGCAACUUACACUAAGUUACAUUGCUUGCAAGGCUUGUGUGUGAUGUUGUAUUACCGAGUGGGCCCAGAGAUACCUCUCCGUCACACGGAGUGACAAAUCCCAGUCUUGAUCCAUACUAACUCAACUAACANNNNNNNNNNNNNNNNNNNNNNNNNNNNNNNNNNNNNNNNNNNNNNNNNNNNNNNNNNNNNNNNNNNNNNNNNNNNNNNNNNNNNNNNNNNNNNNNNNNNGACAAAUCCCAGUCUUGAUCCAUACUAACUCAACUAACACCUUCGGAGAUACCUGUAGAGCAUCUUUAUAGUCACCCAGUUACGUUGCGACGUUUGAUACACACAAAGCAUUCCUCCGGUGUCAGUGAGUUAUAUGAUCUCAUGGUCAUAGGAAUAAAUACUUGACACGCAGAAAACAGUAGCAACAAAAUGACACGAUCAACAUGCUACGUCUAUUAGUUUGGGUCUAGUCCAUCACGUGAUUCUCCUAAUGACGUGAUCCAGUUAUCAAGCAACAACACCUUGUUCAUAAUAAGAAGACACUGACUAUCUUUGAUCAACUGGCUAGCCAACUAGAGGCAUGCUAGGGACAGUGUUUUGUCUAUGUAUCCACACAUGUAAAUGAGUCUUCAUUCAAUACAAUUAUAGCAUGGAUAAUAAACUAUUAUCUUGAUACAGGAAUUAUAAUAAUAACUAUAUUUAUUAUUGCCUCUAGGGCAUAAUUCCAACAGUCUCCCACUUGCACUAGAGUCAAUAAUCUAGUCCUCACAUCACCAUGUGAAUUACAUUGUAAUAAAUCUAACACCCAUACAGUUCUGGUGUUGAUCAUGUUUUGGCCGUGGAAGAGGUUUAGUCAGCGGGUCUGCUACAUUCAGAUCCGUGUGCACUUUGCAUAUAUUCACGUCCUCUCCCUCGACGUAGUCGCGGAUGAGGUUGAAGCGUCGUUUGAUGUGUCUGGUCUUCUUGUGAAACCGUGGUUCCUUUGCUAAGGCAAUGGCACGAGUGUUAUCACAGAACAAGGUUAUUGGAUUCAGUGCGCUUGGCACCACUCCAAGAUCCGUCAUGAACUGCUUCAUCCAGACACCCUCCUUAGCCGCCUCCGAGGCAGCCAUGUACUCCGCUUCACAUGUAGAAUCUGCUACGACGCUUUGCUUGGAACUGCACCAGCUUACUGCACCCCCAUUAAGAAUAAAUACGUAUCCGGUUUGCGACUUAGAGUCGUCCGGAUCUGUGUCAAAGCUUGCAUCGACGUAACCUUUUACGGCGAGCUCUUCGUCACCUCCAUACAAGAGAAACAUCUCCUUAGUCCUUUUCAGGUACUUCAGGAUAUUCUUGACCGCUGUCCAGUGAUCCACUCCUGGAUUACUCUGGAACCUACCUGCCAUACUUAUGGCCAGGCUAACAUCCGGUCUAGUGCACAACAUCGCAUACAUGGUAGAACCUAUGGCUGAAGCAUAGGGGACGGAGCGCAUAUGCUCUCUAUCUUCAUCAGUUGCUGGGCACUGAGUCUUACUCAAUCUUGUACCUUGUAAAACUGGCAAGAACCCUUUCUUGGACUGUUCCAUUUUGAACCUUUUGAAAACUUUAUCAAGGUAUGUGCUUUGUGAAAGUCCUAUCAGGCGUUUUGAUCUAUCCCUAUAGAUCUUAAUGCCUAGAAUGUAAGCAGCUUCUCCUAGGUCCUUCAUAGAGAAACUUUUAUUCAAGUAACCUUUUAUGCUCUCCAAAAGCUCUACGUUGUUUCCAGUCAGUAAUAUGUCAUCCACAUAUAAUAUUAGAAACGCCACAGAGCUCCCACUCACUUUCUUGUAAAUACAGGAUUCUCCAACCACUUGUAUAAACCCAAAUGCUUUGAUCACCUCAUCAAAGCGUUUGUUCCAACUCCGAGAUGCUUGCACCAGUCCAUAAAUGGAUCGCUGGAGCUUGCACACCUUGUUAGCAUUCUUAGGAUCGACAAAACCUUCAGGUUGCAUCAUAUACAACUCUUCCUUAAGGAAACCGUUAAGGAACGCCGUUUUGACAUCCAUCUGCCAGAUUUCAUAAUCGAAAAAUGCAGCUAUUGCUAACAUGAUUCUGACGGACUUAAGCAUCGCUACGGGUGAGAAAGUCUCAUCGUAGCCAACUCCUGGAACUUGUGAAAAACCCUUUGCCACAAGUCGAGCUUUAUAAACGGUCACAUUACCGUCAGCGUCCGUCUUCUUCUUAAAGAUCCAUUUAUUCUGAAUAGCCUUGCGGCCCUCAGGUAGUAUCUCCAAAGUCCACACUUUGUUCUCAUACAUGGAUCCUAUCUCGGAUUUCAUGGUUUCUAGCCAUUUGUUGGAAUCUGGGCCCACCAUUGCUUCUUCAUAAUUUGCAGGUUCAUUGUUGUCUAACAACAUGAUUGAUAAGACGGGAUUACCGUACCACUCUGGAGCAGCGCGUGAUCUCGUCGACCUGCGUGGUUCAACAGAAACUUGAACUGGAGUUUCAUGAUCAUCAUCAUUAACUUCCUCCUCAACCGGCGUCGCAAUGACAGAGGUUUCCCCUUGCCCUGCGCCACCAUCCAGAGGGAUGAGAGGUUCGACAACCUCGUCAAGUUCUAUCUUCCUCCCACUCAAUUCUCUCGAGAGAAACUCCUUCUCGAGAAAAGCUCCAUUUUUAGCAACAAACACUUUGCCCUAGGAUUUGAGAUAGAAGGUGUACCCAACUGUCUCUUUUGGGUAACCUAUGAAGACGCACUUUUCCGCUUUGGGUUCCAGCUUUUCAGGUUGAAGCUUUUUGACAUAAGCAUCACAUCCCCAAACUUUAAGAAACGACAACUUUGGCCUUUUGCCAUACCACAGUUCGUAUGGUGUCGUCUCAACGGAUUUUGAUGGUGCCCUAUUCAAAGUGAAUGCAGCUGUUUCUAAUGCAUAACCCCAAAAUGAUAACGACAAAUCAGUAAGAGACAUCAUAGAUCGCACCAUCUCUAACAAAGUACGAUUACGACGUUCGGACACACCAUUACGCUGUGGUGUUCCAGGCGGUGUUAACUGCGAAACAAUUCCACAUUGUCUUAAGUGAGCACCAAACUCGAAACUCAGAUAUUCACCCCCACGAUCAGACCAUAGGAACUUGAUCUUCUUGUUACGAUGAUUUUCCACUUCACUCUGAAAUUGUUUGAACUUUUCAAAUGUUUCAGACUUGUGCUUCAUCAAGUAGACAUAACCAUAUCUACUCAAAUCGUCAGUGAAGGUGAGAAAAUAACGAUAUCCGCUGCGUGCCUCUAUGCUCAUUGGACCACACACAUCGGUAUGUAUGAUUUCCAACAAGUCACUUGCACGCUCCAUUGUUCCGGAGAAUGGAGUCUUAGUCAUCUUGCCCAUGAGGCAUGGUUCGCACGUGUCAAGUGAAUCAAAAUCAAGUGACUCCAAAAGUCCAUCAGCAUGGAGUUUCUUCACGCGCUUUACACCAAUAUGACCCAAGCGGCAGUGCCACAAAAAUAUGGCGCUAUCAUUGUUUACUCUAACUCUUUUGGUCUCAAUGUUAUGUAUAUGCGUAUCGCUAUCAAGAUUCAAUAUGAACAAUCCUCUCACAUUCGGUGCAUGACCAUAAAAGAUGUUACUCAUAGAAAUUGAACAACCAUUAUUCUCAGACUUAAAAGAGUAACCGUCUCGCAAUAAACAAGAUCCAGAUAUAAUGUUCAUGCUCAACGCAGGCACUAAGUAACAAUGAUUUAUGUUCAUCACUAAUCCCGAUGGUAGCUGAAGUGACACUGUGCCGACGGCGAUUGCAUCAACCUUGGAACCAUUUCCUACGCGCAUCGUCACUUCAUCUUUCGCCAGCCUUCGCCUAUUCCGCAGUUCCUGUUUCGAGUUGCAAAUAUGAGCAACAGAACCGGUAUCAAAUACCCAGGCACUACUAUGAGAGCCGGUUAAGUACACAUCAAUAACAUGUAUAUCAAAUAUACCUGAUUUUUCUUUGCCCGCCUUCUUAUCUGCCAGAUACUUGGGGCAAUUGCGCUUCCAGUGACCCAUACCCUUGCAAUAGAAGCACUCUGUUUCAGGCUUAGGUCCAGCCUUGGGUUUCUUCGGCGGAUUGGCAACAAGCUUGCCGCUCUUCUUCGAAUUGCCCUUCUUGCCUUUGCCGUUUCUCUUGAAACUAGUGGUCUUGCUCACCAUCAACACUUGAUGCUCUUUACGGAGUUCAGACUCUGCGACUUUUAGCAUCGCGAACAACUCGCCGGGAGACUUGUUCAUCCCUUGCAUGUUGUAGUUCAACACAAAGCCUUUAUAGCUUGGCGGCAGUGAUUGAAGGAUUCUGUCAGUGAUAGCUUCUUGCGGGAGUUCAAUCCCCAGCUCAGCUAGACGGUUUGAGUACCCCAGACAUUUUGAGCACAUGUUCACUGACAGACGAGUUUUCCUCCAUCUUGCAAGCAUAUAAUUUAUCGGAGGUCUCAUACCUCUCGAUUCGGGCGUUCUUCUGAAAGAUAAACUCCAACUCCUGGAACAUCUCAAAUGCUCCAUGACGCUCAAAGCGACGUUGAAGUCCCAGUUCUAAGCCAUACAAGACUGCACAUUGAACUAUUGAGUAGUCCUCCUUACGUGCUAACCAAGCGUUCUUAACAUCCUGAUCAGCCGUAGCGGGUGGUUCAUCUCCUAGCGCAGCAUUAAGGACAUAAUCCUUCUUCCCAGCUUGUAAGAUUAGCUUAAGAUUACGAUCCCAGUCUACAAAGUUGCUUCCAUCAUCUUUCAACUUAGCUUUCUCUAGGAACGUAUUAAAAUUCAGGAUGACUGUCGCGUGAGCCAUGAUCUACAACACAAAUAUAUUCAAAGUGGACUUAGACUAUGUUCAAGAUAAUUAGAGUUUAACUUAAUCAAAUUAUAUGCUAAACUCCCACUCAAAAAGUACAUCUCUCUAGUCAUUUGAGUGGUUCAUGAUCCACUUACACUAUCCCAAGUCCGAUCAUCACAUGAGUUGAGUAUAGUUUCAGUGGUAAGCAUCCCUAUGCUAAUCAUAUCAACUAUAUGAUUCAUGAUCGACCUUUCGGUAUCAUGUGUUCCGAGGCCAUGUCUGCACAUGCUAGGCUCGUCAAGCUUAACCCGAGUGUUCCGCGUGCGCAACUGUUUUGCACCCGUUGUAUGUGAACGUUGAGUCUAUCACACCUGAUCAUCACGUGGCGUCUCGAAACGACGAACUGUAGCAACGGUGCACAGUCGGGGAGAACACAAUUUCAUCUUGAAAUUUUAGUGAGAGAUCACCUCAUAAUGCUACCGUCGUUCUAAGCAAAAUAAGGUGCAUAAAAGGAUUAACAUCACAUGCAAUUCAUAAGUGACAUGAUAUGGCCAUCAUCACGUGCUUCUUGAUCUCCAUCACCAAAGCACCGGCACGAUCUUCUUGUCACCGGCGCCACACCAUGAUCAUCCAUCAACAUGUUUCCAUCGGGGUUGUCGUACUGCUCAUGCUAUUACUACCAAAGCUACAUCCUAGCAAAAUAGUAAACGCAUCUGCAAGCACAAACGUUUAGUAUAAAGACAACCCUAUGGCUCCUGCCGGUUGCCGUACCAUUGACGUGCAAGUCGAUAUUUCUAUUACAACAUGAUCAUCUCAUACAUCCAAUAUAUCACAUCACAUCGUUGGCCAUAUCACAUCACAAGCAUACCCUGCAAAAACAAGUUAGACGUCCUCCAAUUUUGUUUGUUGCAUGUUUUACGUGGUGACCAAGGGCAUCUAGUAGGAUCGCAUCUUACUUACGCAAACACCACAACGGAGAUAUAUGAGUUGCUAUUUAACCUCAUCCAAGGACCUCCUCGGUCAAAUCCGAUUCAACUAAAGUUGGAGAAACCGACACUUGCCAGUCAUCUUUGAGCAAAGGGGGGUUACUCGUAACGAUGAAACCAGUCUCUCGUAAGCGUACGAGUAAUGUCGGUCCAAGCCGCUUCAAUCCAACAAUACCGCGGAAUCAAGAAAAGACUAAGGAGGGCAGCAAAACGCACAUCACCGCCCACAAAAACUUUUGUGUUCUACUCGAGAAGACAUCUACGCAUGAACCUAGCUCACGAUGCCACUGUUGGGGAACGUCGCAUGGGAAACAAAAAUUUUCCUACGCGCACGAAGACCUAUCAUGGUGAUGUCCAUCUACGAGAGGGGAUGAGUGAUCUACGUACCCUUGUAGACCGUACAGCAGAAGCGUUUAGAGAACGCGGUUGAUGUAGUGGAACGUCCUCACGUCCCUCGAUCCGCCCCGCGAACAAUCCCGCGAUCAGUCCCACGAUCUAGUAUCGAACGGACGGCACCUCCGCGUUCAGCACACGUACAGCUCGACUAUGAUCUCGGCCUUCUUGAUCCAGCAAGAGAGACGGAGAGGUAGAAGAGUUCUCCGGCAGCGUGACGGCGCUCCGGAGGUUGGUGAUGACCUUGUCUCAGCAGGGCUCCGCCCGAGCUCCGCAGAAACGCGAUCUAGAGGAAAAACCGUGGAGGUAUGUGGUCGGGCUGCCGUGGAAAAGUCAUCUCAAAUCAGCCCUAAAAACCUCCGUAUAUAUAGGUGGGAGGGAGGGGGACUUGCCUUGGGGGUCCAAGGACCCUCAAGGGGGUCGGCCGAGCCAAGGGGGAGGACUCUCCCCCCCCAAACCGAGUUGGACUAGGUUUGGUGGGAGGGAGUCCCCCUUCCUUCCCACCUCCUCUUGAUUUUCUUCUCCUUGGCGCAUAGGGCACUUGUGGGCUGUCCCACCAGCCCACUAAGGGCUGGUGUGUCUCCCCAAAGGCCUAUGGGCUUCCCGGGGUGGGUUGCCCCCCGGUGAACUCCCGGAACCCAUUCGUCAUUCCCGGUACAUUCCCGGUAACUCCGAAAACCUUCCGGUAAUCAAAUGAGGUCAUCCUAUAUAUCAAUCUUUGUUUCCGGACCAUUCCGGAAACCCUCGUGACGUCCGUGAUCUCAUCUGGGACUCCGAACAACAUUCGGUAACCAACCAUAUAACUCAAAUACACAUAAAACAACGUCGAACCUUAAGUGUGCAGACCCUGCGGGUUCGAGAACUAUGUAGACAUGACCCGAGAGACUCCUCGGUCAAUAUCCAAUAGCGGGACCUGGAUGCCCAUAUUGGAUCCUACAUAUUCUACGAAGAUCUUAUCGUUUGAACCUCAGUGCCAAGGAUUCGUAUAAUCCCGUAUGUCAUUCCCUUUGUCCUUCGGUAUGUUACUUGCCCGAGAUUCGAUCGUCAGUAUCCGCAUACCUANNNNNNNNNNNNNNNNNNNNNNNNNNNNNNNNNNNNNNNNNNNNNNNNNNNNNNNNNNNNNNNNNNNNNNNNNNNNNNNNNNNNNNNNNNNNNNNNNNNNAAGCUUAGGAUCCCAAUGUGCUGGAAAGACUCCGACGACAGAGCGGACGAUGAUGACAGAGGAGGAGCCACCGACCAACCAGGCAUGGUGUAUGAGGUCACCAUCAAGUAUAGGGUAGUUUAGGGUUUUAGUUUAAGGUUUUUAGUUCACCAGAUGGAAUAUCGUUUGGUUUUAUGUACAGAUUAUCCUAUUUCAAAUGAAAUAGGUCGUGUUUAUAUCAAAAUUCGCUAGGUUCACACGAAUUUUGUUCGUUUGGUUCGAAUUGUUGUUAAAAUGUAUGCGGCUAUGGUUAGAUGGCAUCCUCCCUCAUCCGUGUCUACGCACUGAUCCCCCUGUCCGUGGACGGAUGCGGGAGGAAAUUUGAGGGUUGUCGAUGGACAUGCCCUUACAUGUUGCUUAUUGUGAUGAAAUAAUUUUUUUUGAAUGAAAUGCUAUUGAAUGUUCCUAUGGAUUGUGGGUAUGGGUUUCCGUGAGAAUGAAAACCCACAAAACUCUCAUUCCUCUCCCUCCCACGCAUAGACGAUUAGGGUCCCCUUGCCUCCCAUCGCGGUGGCCGCCGAUCGGCCUCGCUUCUGUUGCCUGCAGGCCAUGGAAGCGGGGUGGAUCUCGUCCCUCGUUGAUGGGAGGGCUCCAUUUUCCUGCUUUUAGGGUUAAGGUUUGGUGGGAUAACACUCAAAUGAUGGCGGCGACAUCUUGUUUAAUAUGGUCUUCCCGGCUUCAGCCUCAUCUUGGCGGCGAUGUCGAGAAGAUUGUGGGAGUUGUGUGGUUCUUGAGGACUUCUUCUGGCUAUGUGGAUAUCCUGAUCAUCAAUGAGCUUCAUAAACGAUUCUUCCUCCUUCAUCUCCGGAAAGAUGUGGUCUUCUUACCCGUUCGACGACUUCCCGCCCGCAUCCAACUACGUCAGGCCGACUCAAGAAGGAGCGGUAGUGCGGCACGCUGCCGACAUGGUCUAGAGGUUGAAGACGAAGGGCAUCUCAAGGAUUUCAUUAUAGUUUUCAUUUUUGUUGAGGUGCUUUGUACUGUCCGAUGUUUCUUUUAAUGCGAGGGUCCUAUUCGCAAAAAAACUCGUGCGAGGACGAGGAUGGAUUUUUUUAUCCUCGCGGAUGGGGGCAUGGACAGAGAUAUGCAUGAAGAGACUGUCACGAGGACAAUGAUGAGAGUCUAAUACAUGCCUAGAUAAUCCCCAUUGCCAACUUGACCGAGUAUCGAAUAAGGAAAACAACGAUGGCGGAGCCUUCCAUUCACAUACUUUUCAAGAUGGCAUGGAGUCCAUGCACGUGGGAUGCCACCCUUCCAUGAACAACGGCGACAGUCAUUUGAGUACAAAGGGCAAAGGCAGAAGUGAAAGGGUCAAACUCCUCUAUCGGGGAAAGACAGUAAGAUCUUUUUAAAAAAAAAUCACUUGUUUGAAACAUCUAAAAUGUAGAAAUGGCUACAAGAAGCAUUUUUGUCCAACAUUGAUGUUUUUUAAUUGGUCGACAAUAUGUCGCUAGAUUAUGGUUCGCGGACAUCUCAUCUGUAAUGGGAUCAACAUGAUUUAUUGGUAUUAUCAAAUAAUAUAAUUAAUUUGAAUGUGUGUGUGUCCUGGGUUAUACAUUUUGAAAGAAAAAAUCAGAAUAUUUUGGAAUAGAUAUAUAUAUUUUUCUUCUUAUUGAAAUAGAGGCAAAAGACAUAUGAGAAUGAGUUUAUCUUUCAUAGAUUUUUUUUAGUGUUGAUUGAUAUAAUCAUGCUUUUUUUUAACACUUGAUAUAAUCAUGCUUCACUUACUCCGAGCGUGAGUAGACAAAAGUACACGUACUGGCUUGUCACAAUAAUGCGAGCCCGAGAGGGCAAAUCUGCAAAAGAUGGCAGCUCAUGAGAAUCCCACAUUUUUAGUCAAGAUUCUCGCACUAAUUUAACCCGUGCGUACGGCCAUCGCCACUGCCCCCAUCCAUCUCCUUCGCUCGCUCGCACUGUCACACACACGACACACUCCACUGCCUGCCCUCGCUCCUCCCCCUCCCCCUCCCGCACGCUAGCUGGAGGCCAGCCCUUUAUAACCCGGCGAGGCCACGCUGCGGAUCCAAGCACUCCUCGAUCCCCUCGCCCCCUCCUCGAGAUCCGCUCGGAGCCGCGCCCCAGCUCCCCGGCCGGCGAGGUACGAACCCACCGACCGACUCCGCAUUGCCCGCCUCCCCCUCUUCCCGCCCGCCGGAGCGGAUCUAGCUCGAGCUUGUCCGUCCGUCUGAUUGGGUGGUGGUCUAGUGCACCGCUGUGCUAUGGCGUCCGCUACUAGUUGUGUUAGAUUGCGACCCAGCUCGGAGCCAGCUCUGCCCACAGAUCCGAUUGCGAUUCGCGCAAGGGAAUAGGGGGAUUUGCCUGAUUUUUUCCUUCAUUAAUGCACGCGCUUUGCAUCCAUGUUUGCAUGCUUGCCGAUAGAAGGGGAUUUGCUUGCCUUUUUCAUGGCUUUCCUCUUGGGAAGCGUCGCCUUGGUAGGGAACAUGAUACGGAAACGACACGCCUUUUUGGGAGUUAUAUCAUUGAGUUUUGUAAUGCUCUGCGGAUCCGGUGCUUCCUUCUUUAGAUCUGGUGGUUUGGUUGGUAGUAUAAAUUUCUAGUGCUCCGGGCUCUAACGAUGUAGUUUAAUUUGCUUUAGGUGCGCGCGGUGUGUGGCAGGAAGCAGCAAAGCUCUGCAACCUUUGGUGGAUCGAGCUGAUAUAAACAGGCCGCGUGCAGCGGGGUGGUCCUGUACAUGUGCUAGUGGGACUGAUGGCAUUCGGCCGAGGCGGGAAGAUGGACGGCAGGCGGCCCUCGUCGCCGUCUUCGUCGUUGUGCACGACGACCACCGUCGUGGUGUUUGUGGCGCUCUGCGUGGUGGGCGCCUGGAUGAUGACGUCGUCCACCGUCUUCCCGGUAGAGCCGACUUCAAACAAGAGGUCGGAGCCACUAGAGGUAUCAACAUCCAAUAAGAAGACGGAGGUCAAGGAUCAACGCGCAGAAGUUGGCUUUGGUGAAACCGAGGAGACGGCGACAUCCGGCAAUGCUGGCUCGGAGAAAUUCGAGGACACUGACAAUAAUGACAAUGUUCCAGAUGAGUCGCAUAGUAACAGGGAUGCUCCUGAGGAAGAGAAGUUCACUGAGAACACAAUGGAGAAGCCUGUGGAGAUGUCUGAAGAAAAGGAACCGCCAAAAGAAAAGGAGGACAGCAAGGAUUCCUUUGAUGAUGCGAAUGGAAAAUCCGAAGGGCAUAGUGCUAAGGAGGGUGGGGAGUCUGGCGAUGAGGAGGAGAAGAGCGAGGAGAGGAAAGAUAAGGAGACCAACACUGACAAUGAUGUUGAAAAAUCUGAUGGAGAGAAGAAGGAAGAUCAAGAAGGAAAGUCUGAGGAUGAUGCAACUGAACAGCCUCAAAUCGAGGAGAAAGUGGAAGAAAGUGGAGAGAAGGAACCAGCUGCAAAAGCUAACGAGGUAUUUCCUGAUGGAGCUCAAUCUGAACUUCUCAAGGAGUCGAAUACCGAGAAUGGGUCAUUCCCUACACAGGCCGCAGAGUCAAAGAAUGAGAAGGAAGCUCAAGCAGCAUCAAAAUCUUCAGGUGAUGAAAUCACCUAUAGCUGGAAAUUAUGUAAUAGCAGCGCUGUGACAGAUUACAUACCUUGCCUUGACAAUGAGAAGGCUAUCAAGAAGCUUCAUUCUACCAAACAUUAUGAACACCGCGAGAGGCAUUGCCCUGAGGAGCCCCCGACUUGCCUUGUCCCACUUCCGGAAGGAUAUAAGCGCCCCAUCGAGUGGCCCAAGAGCAGGGACAAGGUACUUCUGUCUUUUCAUGGUGUUUCCAUAACACCGAGUAAUCUUCGGUUGAUCAAUAUCCCCUUCUUGUGCUUAUUAUAAGUAACACUACUUUUGCAGGUAUGGUACAGCAACGUUCCUCACACCAAGCUUGCAGAGUACAAGGGCCAUCAGAACUGGGUUAAAGUUUCUGGGGAUCACCUUCUGUUUCCUGGGGGCGGAACUCAGUUCAAGAAUGGCGCACUCCACUACAUCGAUACUAUUCAGCAGGUUUAUUACCAUUGCCCCAAUUAUGACUUACUUCCAUACAUCAAAAGUUGAUUAAUAGUAUAACACAUACCUAAGUCUCAAGGGAAAUGUUUCCAUCACUCCUUUGAAGGAGUUUGCACAUGUUUCAGGACUCUGAUGAUGAAAUUUGCAUGUUCUUUUUUUGAAACCAAUAUUAUCACCAUAUCAUGGUGUCCGAAGUCUAUGCAUUUACAUGCUUAUCAAAUUACUAUGUGCAGGCUUUACCUGAUAUUGCAUGGGGUAAACGAAGCCGUGUCAUUCUAGAUGUUGGUUGUGGAGUUGCUAGCUUUGGUGGCUACAUGUUUGAUAGAGAUGUGCUUACCAUGUCAUUUGCUCCAAAAGACGAGCAUGAAGCUCAAGUACAGUUUGCGCUGGAGAGAGGAAUUCCAGCAAUAUCAGCUGUAAUGGGCACCAAGCGACUUCCAUAUCCUAGCAGGGUUUUUGAUGUCAUUCACUGUGCUCGCUGCAGAGUCCCUUGGCACAUUGAAGGUUUGUCUUGUGGUGGCAUGUUUACCCUUCGAUAUCUCCUGGUAGCUACCGUGUACUGUAUGAUAUGAAUACGGUUUACGACAACUGGUUACUUUCAGGUGGCAAGCUUUUGCUGGAAUUAAACCGACUAUUACGUCCUGGUGGUUACUUCGUCUGGUCUGCCACUCCUGUUUACCAAAAGCUCCCUGAAGAUGUUGAAAUUUGGAACGGUAUUCUACUGAACACCUCUUUUAACAUCACUCGUACCGCUAUACAGAACAUUGCUGCAAUAUCAAUGAACCGUACCAAAACUGUUGUUGUCCUCUGUUUCUUUAGAACAGUUCAAGUAGCUGUUCACUUGCUUUGGUACAUCAGGAAAAACUGUUGCGGCCUCUGAAUGGUUACGCCUGAUUUUCUAUAGAAAACUGCACCACAAUCCACAUACAGAGAAAUACACGUUGCUUGUAACAGAAGUUCAAAUGUUGUAAACUCUCUUUAAUUGUUCUUUUCAUCUAUAACGAAGGCUGACAGCCCAAGUUGUGCUUUAUUAUCACAAAUACAAUGAACCAUUGGUUAGCAUUAGAUGUGCCCAACUUCAUGAAUAUAGCAGACCUAUUUAAUAAAAUUAAUAAACACAUGCU